CACCCUCUCGCGUACGUAACCAGCCGCUUGCCUUUUUCCUUCCAUUUCAUUCUAAGUUAUACCGUUCUGUCAUCCGAGAUGGCAGAUCCUUGACGUUUCUGUGCCGCGAAGGAGCUAUACAAUUGAGGUUUAUUAUCAAUAUAUAAUGACUGCAAAUGCAGUCAUCCAAAGGAUUAUCAAAGGACCAUAAGAUACGAUCGAACUUGAUAUCACCCAUGUAUCCUGUUCUCUUGAAAGCUCAUUAGAUGCAACCGUAACUCUUCAGAUAUUCUAAAAAGAAGCAGCUCCAACUUUCUUCGUAAUACUAGUCGAGUCAUAAAAAUGUAUCACGCAGGAUAAUUGCACGAAAAAAG